GGAAACUUGUGCCGACACUUGACGUGACGAACCUUUCAACACUUGUUGGUUGAUUAGAGGAAUGGUUAUAGGUUUUAUAAACCAUCAAAUAGUUGUUUUAAUAUGGAACAAAUUAGCCGACACAAUUCCAUCUUUGACUCCAGUGAUGAUGUGAUCCUAAUCGAUCAAUUUGCGGCGGUCUUCGACAAAGUUGUUUGGCAUAUAGUCAUCUACAAGAAUACCAAAGGGUUUAAUUAUGAAACGCCACCUAGCGAAUCGAAAAAAUCGAAUACUUUAGAUUUCUGUAUACAUUUGGCCACGUAUUCCCAUACAAACUUCAAGCUUGUUCCCUUAGGCUUGAUAGAUUUUGCUCAAAUUUUGAACGUAGCUUCUGAGAGUCCAAAACAACUGCUUCAGCAGGUAAGACUUGUCCUUUUUCGAUUUUUUUUUAAUAUAUAUGUGGGCCACCCUAUUGGUGGUCACGAUGUUCAAUCAGAAUAACAAUUAAUCAGCGGUUUACGCUGGUAAGUGAAUCCCCCUACUCUUUCAUCAGUAGAACUCAUCUGAUCGAGUGCGCACGCACUCGUAUUUGCUGGGGCUGCUGCUGUAUGUAAUGACGGGGUCGGUCGCAGAUCGCAUUAAUUUAUCGAGUUUUAAUCCGAAAUAACACUUGGGGAAUAGUGUAACUGUAACUAUUGUUACAGCUAUUGUCUAUCCGGUUGGAAUCAAGACCGACAUUCAAUCAAAAAUUGCCAUUUUCUUGGUCCACAAGUGUCGCAACUGUUUCGCAUCUAGUGCGCUGUGUUGCUGACAACAACGGGAAGGAUGCGCACUACCUUUGAUAUGAUUGAAAAACGUCGCGAGUUGGGUCGCGUCGCAACUUGAUUGUGCGAAGUCCGGUUUGGUGGCGGCCCGACAAUACCUAUUUCCUUUACCAAUCACGAUUCGCCUAUGGCAGAUCACUUCGUAUGCAUGUGCAAAAGUAUGUGUUACAAAUUUCACAAUCGCAGAUAUGUUGCACUCGUUGAAAUAGGCUUUGGAACAGAAGGUCGAAGGGACAAAAGCUGGAAUGGGACAAAAGGUCGAAUGAAGAAAAAAUUUAGUAGACCAAUUUACCAGCUGGUAUGUCUUGCUUAUAAGACAAUUUUUUUAGGAAGUCUUUGUUGCCGCUCAUUGAGAGAAACGUUGUAGUGCUGUUAUAGAAAUCAUAUGCAUUCCAGCCACUAACAUAUCCUUAGGAAAUUUUGCCUUCUUUUGUUUAUAGGCUGUUCUUUCAAGUUGUGUUAAUGUAGUAUUUAUUUGAUUUGAUUUGAGUUUGAUUUUUCAUUUAGAAAUUUUUUCCUUCAAUGCUGUUCUUUUAACUUUUGUUAUCGAAAUAAUUAUUGACUCCUUAUAGGGACUUAUUUUUCGAUUAGAAAUUUUGUCUUCUUCUUUUCAAUAGCUGUUCUUUCUAACUGUACUGCAGAAAUAUUCAUUGACUACUUGGGCUUAGUGAUCAUCCCCUCUUGGAUUGAUAGGUAGAUCCUAAUACAGCUUCCGCUCGAUAACUGGGUUUUGACGACAGUUCAGUAAGCGAGCGCCGCUCGAUAACUGAACUAAGCUUCCGGAGCCGGAGGCUAUUGUUAUAAUUUGUUUUGUUUAUCGAUUUGCAAAAUGUGAGGUUAGAUUUCGUUUAUUUUUGACAGACAACUGCUUUUUAACUGAACUUUGGUCCAGUUAUCGAGCGACCAGUUAAAAAAGCAGUCCAGUUAAACAGCAGCCAGUUAUCGAGCGGAUGCUGUAGUUAUACUGUAUAAGUAAACGAUUUUAUUUUAUUUGCUCAUACAGGCGUGACGCCAAAAACUGAGAAUUUUCGAAUACGUAGUGGCUCAAAAACGGUGCUUAAAAACCUCAACUAUAAACUUGUAUGCUCUUUAUGUAAGUGCCAAUGAAAUUGUUAGGAAAUCCGUAUACAGUUAUAUAGUUAGGCAUGGCAAUAAAUCGGGAUCGCUAAUAAUAGGUUAAGUACAUUUACUGCAAGUGUUCAUUUUGUGUAUCAAUAAACAUGUAUUCUAAAUAUA